GCCGUUGAGGUGUAACGGUUUUGCAUAUCGGCUUGUCACGCCGAGGGUAGCGGGUUCGACUCCCGUCAAUGGCG
rnacentral:tRNA from 1 species